rnacentral:tRNA from 1 species
AUCUAAAUAGUUUAAUUAAAAUAUUGAUUUGUGGUAUCAAAGAUAUAAUAAUUUAUUUUAGAUU